ACGUAGGGGGCAAGCGUUGUCCGGAAUUACUGGGCGUAAAGGGUGCGUAGGCGGCCUGGUAAGUCUGGGGUGAAAGCCUUCCGCUUAACGGGGGAACUGCUUUGGAUGCUGGCAGGCUUGAGUGCAGGAGAGGUAAGUGGAAUUCCCGGUGUAGCGGUGAAAUCCGUAAAGCUCGGGAGGAACACCAGUGGCGAAGGCGUCUUACUAGACUGUAACUGACGCUGAGGCACGAAAGUGUGGGGAGCAAACAG
rnacentral:rRNA from 1 species